CGUCUAGCAUUCGUGCGGAAUGUUUGUGUUUUCGGCGUUGCUCUUAUUAGUUCAUUUGUUUCGAACAGUAUUCAAACUAAAAUAAGUUGAAACGCGUGUAACUUUAUGAUUUAAUAUGGUGGUCCUAGUGGCCACUAAUUUGAGUGACAAUAAAAUCGAUCUACUACAAAGUGCCAAAAACUGUUUCACAUGCAAAAGCAUUGUACUGUGCUAAUUGCUUGGGCGAACAUGCUGAUUUAUCCAACACGUGCCCUCAAGUGCUAUAAAUAAUACCACAAGAAAAAUGCACUAUUCGAAAAGCGUGCAAAUUUUAUAACACACGCAACCCACUAACAGUGCCAAUAUAUAGGAUUUUCCAGGAAGAGUGAUACGAUUUAUUUAAAAAAAAGCAACAUACUAAUUGUUAAGGAAUGAAUUCGAUGGACCCAAUUUUUGGAGCAUAUUUUCUAUAUCUAUAGCACUCUCCAUUGACAGUUACGGUGCUACCAGGUUCAAUUCGAAUGAAGUACAGAAUCCUGAUUCCACAACACCAAACUGACAAUUUCGGUGAAUGUAAUGGUUCAUGAAUAAUUUGAGGGGCUUCUUCGAACCAAAAUCAACAUUUUUAUUUAUUUACCGCACUGAUCACUUGAAAGGAAGCCUAAUCGGAGGAACUGAACAAAUAACCUGGUGCAAGUGCAAAUCACUAUACUCCAGCUCUGCAAAUCUCGUUCGACGGAAACUUCAAUUCUCCAAAUCUUCACACCGCCAUCAAUAGUUCAACAAAAACCACCACCACACCAAUGGAAGCAUGAACUCAACAUUUAUUCUGUUCGCUGUUAAAAUACACUAAAACUUCGCCGGCAAGAAUAAGUAAAUCAUAUUUUAUAUUCAACUAUCACAUCGAAGACUAUUAUAAUUAAUUAUAUUUAUAUACAUAUUUAUUAUUUCGAAUGUAUAUGAUCAUAGUGCACAACUUUUGCUAGUUAAAAAUAUCGGUUGGCUGAUAGUCGGUAGCUGGAUACACUCUUACAGCUUUAUAUCCCCAACUGACGCUAUCACCAUUUUAAAAGCUUUCGAAAAUUGUUUAACGUCAACCCAAUAAUCGGUCAACUACGAGAUCUGUUAACAAAAAAUCAGGAAAAACUAAAGAUCGAUUGGACUCGUAGCCAAAAAGGUAUCUACGGAAACGAAUUAGCCGACGUUGAAGCUAAACACGCCUACACUGCCUUCAAUGCCAAAGGCAAAAAAUUCAUCUUUCCUCUCUCCUUCUCCAAAGAACAGACCACUACUUACAUCCGCCUUAAAAUAGGCCACUUAAAAUUAUUUAAUUAUAAUCACAACCUCAAUCCUCCUUAAAACAUAAGUUAAGAAAUUAUUAUUACAAAA